CUACUUCCGAGCCAUCCGAAACAUCGAGCGCUGCGCUGAUCAGCUGGCAGGAGUGAGUCGCUUCAGGGACAAACACGACGAGGGUCAUAUAACCGCUGUCGUAUUCGAUAUGUUCGGAAUCGCACACUACAUAGCGCUUAGCGUGCUGGACCUGGGCUCUCUCUCACACGCACGGACUGAUCCAGACAGAGAAAUAGACUGGAGAAAGAUGUCAUUUUUGCAUGGAUGUUGUGGAGGAGUUGGACCCGUGAGCAGCCGUGACAGUGGCGUGGUUCAAGAGUUUUGCGUUUAAGAAGUUGCAUUUGUGUGUGUGAGCAGAAGGUAAAUAAAAGAAAACGUUACCUGCCAA